GAGAUUCAUUAAAGCUCUAUUUUUACCAAAUUCUUCAAUAACUUCAAAUGGUUUUCUUCAGUGUGAAAACAUUGAUGUCUAGUUAUCAAAUGAAAAAGGUUUUUCUCUAGUGUGAGUUCGUUGAUAGUAAAUUAAAAUGGUUGAACUUUUACCAUUAAAAUGAGAAAACGUUUUUUUUAGCAGGUUUUUCUGGAACAUUUUCAUCAAGUUUUUCGCUUGCAACUAUUAAUUCUGGAUUUGAUUGUUGUUCCAGGAUUGCAAUAAUUUC